GUGAGUUUGCUAGAGCUGCAUUUUCCAGGCGACGUUUGCAAUUGCAGGAAGGAAUUGUAUGAAUGAUGAUGGAUGGUAGAUGUGAGAAUGUGGGGGUACCAAUGUGGGGGUGUUUCUGAAUGGUAAUUUUUGUUGAACAUUGUGUUGUGAUGGGGCUACCAACCCUUAACUGUUUUGGAGUUUAAAUUGGAAGUGCCCUUCUGGUACGAGGCCUGACCGGAGGCUUUUAAUCUGGUACCACGGGUAACCAGGAGCCCACGGAACUUGUUCCGUCCUGGUUAGUUGGUGCGGCCCUUCGGGGAGUAUCGUGGUGGUUGUGGUUUAACACCCAAAUGCGGGUAGAGCAUCGCUCGACGUGGAGUUGCGUCAUACAACCGGGUUCCGUGACCCAGAUUACGGAAGAGGCUUAGAUAGUCCUCGUGCCAAACCAAGGUAGAAGUCACAACCAAACAGUCGUGUCUUUAAUUGGUACCUGCGGAAUUGUUCCAAGGGGGCGGUGAUUGACGCUUGAAUUAAUCCUAUACUAGGAACCGUGAGAUUAAGCCAUCGCGGCAGGUGCUCACGUUAAGCCCACUGACUUUCAUGUCCCUAUCUACUAUCUAGCGAAACCACAGCCAAGGGAACGGGCUUGGAAUAAUUAGCGGGGAAAGAAGACCCUUUUGAGCUUGACUCUAAUCUGGCAGUGUAAGGAGACAUAAGAGGUGUAGAAUAAGUGGGAGAUAUUAGACUUCGGUUUGGUAUCGACAAUGAAAUACCACUACUCUUAUUGUUUCCUUACUUACUUGAUUAAAUGGAACGUGUAUCAUUUCCUAGCCAUUAUACGGAUAUAAUUAUUAUGUCUUAUGGUAUUGGGUUUUGAUGCAAGCUUCUUGAUCAAAGUAUCACGAGUUUGUUAUAUAAUCGCAAACAAAUUCUUUAAUGAGAGAAUGCAUUUAUGUAUUAUUGAUUUAAAAAUUUGGUAUAACUCCAAUUACUCAGGUAUGAUCCAAUUCAAGGACAUUGCCAGGUAGGGAGUUUGACUGGGGCGGUACAUCUCUCAAAUAAUAACGGAGGUGUCCCAAGGCCAGCUCAGUGCGGACAGAAACCACACAUAGAGCAAAAGGGCAAAUGCUGACUUGAUCUCGGUGUUCAGUACACACAGGGACAGCAAAAGCUCGGCCUAUCGAUCCUUUUGGUUUAAAGAG
rfam:Drosophila virilis strain TSC#15010-1051.87 Ctg01_1577, whole genome shotgun sequence.